rnacentral:lncRNA from 1 species
GCCAAGUGAAAAUCUGUUGAGACAAAUAUAGACUCGGGACAGAAGGUGCAUCUUAACUAAUCAACGCCCAAUCUAAUAUCCAGACACAGUAGAGACCUAGAACGCAUUCAUCUCUGGAUGAAUUCACCUGUCACGAUCAUAAAUUCUUUCACGAGCACCGGAGAUGAGACCUGAGGAAUCUACCCAGAAGCAGACAGCAGAGUCCUGGGCAGAGUUAUUCUUUGUUGUGAGUUGAGGCCUGCCAAAGCCAUUUCUGUGGUUGAGAUAGUCAGAAGGCGGCAUUCCAGGCCCGUGCCACCGGCCACUUGACCUUGUCACCAUCCUUUGCCGAUGAGUUCUAGGCUCUAGGAAGGGAGUUUCAAAGUCUUCUAUGGCCCCUUUCCCCAAGAUCUUCUCCUGCAUCUCAGCCUCCACGGUGUGACCCAUGGGAGGGGACCAGCUUGGGUAGGU